AUACCGGCCGGUGGGGUUUCAUUUUUCCUAGUUUCGGACUUGUCUAGCGACACUCUUUGGAUACUGUAGUGUCAAAGGAAUACUUGGUACUAGGAUUUGAGCUGACUCUCAUAUAACCGAAGCGUCAAUAGAGAGGAGCAGUAUAUUGGUUAUGGUGUGUUCAUAUCGUCACACAAAAUUUUGCACUUCAAGAGAUGUAUCAUUGUUCUGGACUCGAGAAAAUUGCAGACUGUAGACUGAGUGCAGUUCAUGAAUGUUAUGCUUAUCAUUCAUAUGAAAACGACAUCAUAGCUGUAGUUUUUGUUGUUGGCUCCAGGACACAUGUGAGCUCCUAGUAAGGUGUGCUUCCUGAUGCCUUUUGUGAUCAAUGUGUGCUCUUUCUGCUGCUCCCCAUGCAUCAAAAUAGUUUGUGCAAAUAAGUUUGUAGAUAAUUUGGACCUAACAGUAUAUAAUUCAGCUUGUGUGUACCCUAGAGGUUGAGCUGUUGAGUGUCGGGCUUUGGGAUCAUUCAAUAAGCUUCAACUUUAAUGGUGAUCUCUUUUGGUGAAUGACUGGGAUUGUUGCUUAGACCGGUGUAUGCUUAAUUGCUGAUACAUUAUCAAGUAGUGAACUAGAAAAAUAUUUAGGAGUUUCUCAACUUCAUUAAUUCAGGACCACUAAUUAAUGUUCUAGAUAAUCUAUUUCCUCAAUUGGUAGCUUGAUUUAUACACUACUGCAUAUUUCUAAUUCAUGUGUAUCACAAUUCUGUUCUUCUAGUCAUUGUGCGCCUGAAUGUGUCCUCGCAGACCCAAUUAGAAUAUUACAGGUUUUUAUCAUUUUCUUGCCCGCGUUUUGACUUUUGAGUUCUAGAUGCAUUUUCGUUUUUGUGACAAAGCAAGAUCACAUAUACAUAUUCUUAUGCGUUCUCAUUAUGUACGCUUGGUCAAAACAUGUAAGCUGCUAUUGCUUGUGAGCAGAUUUGCUGAAUGAUAAGUCCACGUAGGACAAUAUCGACCUGUUAACAUUCAUAUUUAAUGAUAGUAGAAAACCGUGACGGUUACUUUACACAUUUUGAGAAAACAGACUUGCUAGGCUGUAGUAGAUGCAUGAUUGCUGCCUGUAGAGCUGACCAUCAUGUUUCUUUCUUGUGCAACGAUAUCGGAGGCUACAUGGUAGCUGGGACAUGUAGCUGUCUGAAUGCAUCACUUGGAAGCUGGAAGACCCGGCCUGGGACCCUUUGCCUAGGUUGUCACCAUGGAGGUCAAUGGUCAUCAAAACCUAGAAGACGGGCAGAGAGCAAUGGUGUAAAACCACUCAAUAAUUUUGAUGAAGUUGAUCAAUGGACGGCGUGGCGUAGAAACCACGGACGAUAUCAUUGUUACUGAUGGGAAACCUACCUUUUAAUAUAUUAAUUUGCCAAGGUUGUCACCAUGGAUAUCAAUGGUCAUCACAAACCUAGAAGACGACAGAGAGUAAUUGUGCAAAACCACUCAAUAAUUUUGGUGUAGUUGAUCCAUGGACGGCGUGGCGUACAAACCACAGACAAUAUCAUUGUUAACUGAUGGGAAACCUGCCUUUUAAUGAGAUCCUUCGGUGGAGGUAACAGAGGAGAGUUGCGACACCUCCCAGGAAGCAAAGUGCAUUGCGAAUAGCCAUGUGAUUGUCAUUGGUGUCAACAUUGGCAUCGGUGGGAAGCGCAAACCCGCUGCCUCAUGUGGUCCUGCUGCCUUGUGAUGGCGGUAGCCUCAGUGCACGACAACCAUGGCACUGUCAGUGUUGUGCUUUUUGUACAACCGUAUGAUGGUAGAUCCUUUGGUGGAGGUUACCGAGGAUAAUCAGGACGAAGGAAAGUGUAUGGCUAUUCGGCUCUAACAGUGAUGCUGCUAAUGGUCUUCGACAACCCUGUGACGUUCAUCCAUGGCUACACACCUCCGGUUAAUAAUGAGCCUUCGAUAGCGCCUCUCCAUUGAACCUGGAGUUGCUGAUGCCGGCGAGAGCUGCAGUAGUGCUGUUGCAGCUGGGCUAGCUGUGGCCGCUCGCGUGUUGGUAGGCUCGGCUGCCCCGGACUUUGACUACCUCGUUGGCACCACACCGCAACCUUGAUGGUGGUUACUAUCGUCCUCGGCUACACCCCGCUGUGGUGAGCUCCUCGAGCUUCCUUCUUCCAUGUGGUAGCACUGUCAUUGCCGCUGCGGUUCUGUGCUCCACCUUUGUGCGGUUUGGUUCAUAUUUCUCUGUUUUACUCCAUUAAUUUGGUUGUUGUAAAAAAUUAAUCUUGAGAUAUGUAAGUGUCUGCAUCA